rnacentral:lncRNA from 1 species
CGGCUGGGACGUUCUCCGCGUUCUGUCGCCAUCCCACAGACCCAGCCUGAGCAGGUGAGCGCAGGGCUGGCGCCUUUGUGUAGAAGCAGAGCGGGGUGGCAGGUGAGGAGGUGUGCCCAGCUGGAGCGCCACACCCCACCGGCCAGGCGGCUCAGAGUGAGCCGUGCACUCACCACUCCAAGGAACUUGGAGGCCUGCCUCGUGGAAUUCCUGCGCGGAGGUCCGGAAGGCAGGUCUGGAGCUGGCUUUGGCUUUGUGACUUUGGGAAUUCUUUCUGAAUUCCACCUUCCAUCGUCGCCCCUGCCCACCAGCCCAGGGAGGAGUCCCAGGGAGGAGGCCCAGUCCCGCUCCUGCUCCUGGUGAGAGCUGAGGGCCACAGCUUCUCUUCACGCCCCAGGAGCCCCAGGGGUGUCCGUCCAGCCCCUUCCCAGCUUGAGCUGAGCCCUGUGUGUUGGUGCCCCUCGGUGCUGGGGAAGUGGGAGAGUCCUGCCCCGGGAGCCCAGGCCAGUGGGCAGACACCUUAACGGAAGGCAGGUUGGGCUGCAGCCCUCUCCUGGCACUUGCGAAACCCUGGGCUUGAUCCCCAGCAUUGCUAAACAAUCAGAAAACCCCUCUGGCUCCUGGGAUGAGCAUGGGGAAAACAGAAGCCCUUGGAGGAGCCUUUGAGCACAGUGGGGUUGGAGUGGCUGCAGCUGCAGGCUGUGCACCCGCUGAGCUGGACUGGCUGCACUCAACCCCCCAGGGACCCUGCUGGCCAGGCCGGGUUGGCAGGGUGUGGGCCUUUGGGGGCUGCAGCUGGGCAAAUGCCCUUGAGACAGGCCUUGAGGUCAGGGAGGAACGGGGGCUGCAGCUGGGGCAGGGCUGGGGAGGACUGGGCACCCCCCGGUGGCCUGGGCAGGGGUGGCUGUGUGGUGAGAGGCACGGAGUGGCAGCGGUCUGCCCAGUGGGACUGGAGGACAGGGCCUCUAUCCGCCCUUUCCCGCAGCGGGAGCCCCAGAAGGAGGUGGAGGGGAGCAGUCCCACAUAACCGCCUCCAAUACUCUCUCUGAAGCAGACGCCAGUCCCGCCUCGGCCUGUGGCAGUCGGGCAGUGCUUGGGGAAGUCCUUUUCCACAGGCUCCUCUGAGCCUGCCAUGUGACACGCGUGUGACAACCACUAGCAUCUUCCAGGGCGGCAGCCAGGGCCGGGUCUGGCCCGGCACCAGCCCUCUUAGAGGGCGCACGGUCUGCGACUGGUGAAUCAGAGCCCAUGGCGUCCCUGUUUCCUGAGGAGUAAACAGGUCGGACCGAGGACCCUCUGGCUCAGUUUCCUGAGCGCAGAGAACACAAGGCCGGCCCCUCACCCCUGCGCCUUCCCACCCGCCCCUGGCG